rnacentral:rRNA from 1 species
GGUGGCGUGCUUAACACAUGCAAGUCGAACGGAAAGGCCCUGCUUUUGUGGGGUGCUCGAGUGGCGAACGGGUGAGUAACACGUGAGUAACCUGCCCUUGACUUUGGGAUAACUUCAGGAAACUGGGGCUAAUACCGGAUAGGAGCUCCUGCUGCAUGGUGGGGGUUGGAAAGUUUCGGCGGUUGGGGAUGGACUCGCGGCUUAUCAGCUUGUUGGUGGGGUAGUGGCUUACCAAGGCUUUGACGGGUAGCCGGCCUGAGAGGGUGACCGGCCACAUUGGGACUGAGAUACGGCCCAGACUCCUACGGGAGGCAGCAGUGGGGAAUAUUGCACAAUGGGCGGAAGCCUGAUGCAGCAACGCCGCGUGCGGGAUGACGGCCUUCGGGUUGUAAACCGCUUUCGCCUGUGACGAAGCGUGAGUGACGGUAAUGGGUAAAGAAGCACCGGCUAACUACGUGCCAGCAGCCGCGGUGAUACGUAGGGUGCGAGCGUUGUCCGGAUUUAUUGGGCGUAAAGGGCUCGUAGGUGGUUGAUCGCGUCGGAAGUGUAAUCUUGGGGCUUAACCCUGAGCGUGCUUUCGAUACGGGUUGACUUGAGGAAGGUAGGGGAGAAUGGAAUUCCUGGUGGAGCGGUGGAAUGCGCAGAUAUCAGGAGGAACACCAGUGGCGAAGGCGGUUCUCUGGGCCUUUCCUGACGCUGAGGAGCGAAAGCGUGGGGAGCGAACAGGCUUAGAUACCCUGGUAGUCCACGCUGUAAACGGUGGGUACUAGGUGUGGGGUCCAUUCCACGGGUUCCGUGCCGUAGCUAACGCUUUAAGUACCCCGCCUGGGGAGUACGGCCGCAAGGCUAAAACUCAAAGGAAUUGACGGGGCCCCGCACAAGCGGCGGAGCAUGCGGAUUAAUUCGAUGCAACGCGUAGAACCUUACCUGGGUUUGACAUGGAUCGGGAGUGCUCAGAGAUGGGUGUGCCUCUUUUGGGGUCGGUUCACAGGUGGUGCAUGGCUGUCGUCAGCUCGUGUCGUGAGAUGUUGGGUUAAGUCCCGCAACGAGCGCAACCCUUGUUCACUGUUGCCAGCACGUUAUGGUGGGGACUCAGUGGAGACCGCCGGGGUCAACUCGGAGGAAGGUGGGGAUGACGUCAAGUCAUCAUGCCCCUUAUGUCCAGGGCUUCACGCAUGCUACAAUGGCUGGUACAGAGAGUGGCGAGCCUGUGAGGGUGAGCGAAUCUCGGAAAGCCGGUCUCAGUUCGGAUUGGGGUCUGCAACUCGACCUCAUGAAGUCGGAGUCGCUAGUAAUCGCAGAUCAGCAACGCUGCGGUGAAUACGUUCCCGGGGCUUGUACACACCGCCCGUCAAGUCAUGAAAGUUGGUAACACCCGAAGCCGGUGGCCUAACCGUUGUGGGGGAGCCGUCGAAGGUGGGACUGGUGAUUAGG